GACGAACGCUGGCGGCGUGCUUAACACAUGCAAGUCGAACGGAAAGGCCCUGCUUGCAGGGUACUCGAGUGGCGAACGGGUGAGUAACACGUGGGUGAUCUGCCCUGCACUUCGGGAUAAGCCUGGGAAACUGGGUCUAAUACCGGAUAGGAGCCAUUUUUAGUGUGAUGGUUGGAAAGUUUUUUCGGUGUAGGAUGAGCUCGCGGCCUAUCAGCUUGGUGGUGGGGUAAUGGCCUACCAAGGCGGCGACGGGUAGCCGGCCUGAGAGGGUGGACGGCCACAUUGGGACUGAGAUACGGCCCAGACUCCUACGGGAGGCAGCAGUGGGGAAUAUUGCACAAUGGGCGCAAGCCUGAUGCAGCGACGCCGCGUGGGGGAUGACGGCCUUCGGGUUGUAAACUCCUUUCGCUAGGGACGAAGCUUUUUGUGACGGUACCUAGAUAAGAAGCACCGGCUAACUACGUG
rnacentral:rRNA from 1 species